rnacentral:rRNA from 1 species
CCUACGGGAGGCAGCAGUGGGGAAUAUUGCACAAUGGGGGAAACCCUGAUGCAGCGACGCCGCGUGAGUGAAGAAGUAUUUCGGUAUGUAAAGCUCUAUCAGCAGGGAAGAAAAUGACGGUACCUGACUAAUAAGCCCCGGCUAACUACGUGCCAGCAGCCGCGGUAAUACGUAGGGGGCAAGCGUUAUCCGGAUUUACUGGGUGUAAAGGGAGCGUAGACGGGCAGGCAAGUCAGAAGUGAAAGCCCAGGGCUCAACCCUGGGACUGCAUUUGAAACUGCUGGUCUAGAGUGCGGGAGAGGUAGGCGGAAUUCUUGGUGUAGCGGUGAAAUGUGUAGAUAUUAGGAGGAACACCAGUGGCGAAGGCGGCUUACUGGACUGUAACUGACGUUGAGGCUCGAAAGCGUGGGGAGCAAACAGGAUUAGAUACCCGUGUAGUC